CUUGCGACCAUAUCACGUUGAAACACCGGUUCCCCUACUAUAACCGAAGUUAAGCAACGUCGAGCCUGGUCAGUACUUAGAUGAGUGACCGCUUAGGAAUACUAGGUGCUAU